CAUUUUCAAAUUUAGGGAUGAUGUUUAGGCUAUUUUGUUGUCAAAUGGAAGUAACUAUAUGUCAAAAUGAGCAGUAUAGUAUGUAAGGGUUAAAGUUCCAACGAUAACAAGGGGAACUACAAGGAAGUGUUUACAUGCUUGGCCAAGAGAGGUUUGUUCCUUGCCCGAGUCUGUUUUUCGCUGCCGUGAAAUAGCAGUUCCAUGGCUGACGAGGAUGGCGAUCAUGUGGCUAACAAGCAGAACUGAGGCCUGACUCACACAGGGACAACAGAUGAGUGGGAACUGACUCACAUUCAAGUCUGCACUCUGUCCGCAGCACAAUUAUUCCGGGACGGUGUGACAUCCGCGAAAAAUAGAUACAGUCUCAGACUCACCCGCUCGCUAGAAGAACACGCAUUCUUCUGUAUUUUCCGCUGCCUGCUUUAGCUCGCAGUCUGUCCACCAGUCGUCUUUGUACAUCGUCAUCUAUUAAAAAAUCUGAUCUGAUCCCGUCCAAUAUCAGGAGUGUCAAACUCAAGGCUCGGAGGAGGGGGAGCCGAUUUGUCCCGCCAUCGUCAUUUUAUGGGGUUCGCGAAAGCAAGUCAUGCUCCAUCAUCAUUAUAACUAAAAUAUGUAUCAAAACUCGUCAUAUACACACACACACACAGAAUGCUUCCUUAGGCAGCUGCACAUAUCGCCCAUAUCAGAAACCACAGCUGUAGCGAUUGACCCUUUAUAUCUUUUCACAGUCAUAACAGGCUUGUGGAGGUAAGUGUAACUACAAUGGGGCAAAUGAGAAAAUGAGUUUGACUAUCUCUCAUCCAUACCCCUUCCCUCCAUCCCACAUCAAUUGAACCAGCCAAUUCCACGUGCUACUGGAAAGGAGGAGGAGCUUACAUCUCAGGUGGAGCAAAGUCUGGCUGACACAUCUGGUAGCCUCGUUUGACCAUCUUGUAGAACCUGGAGUCCACAGCCACGCUGGGGAAGCGCACCUCAGCAGCUUCAUGCUGUCCUGUUACCUUGGGCUUCAGGAGCUUUGCUGAAACUUCAGCGGAGUAACCAGACAUUCAUUCUUUGUGUCGCUUAUCCUCACUAAGGUCUCAAGUGUACUGGAGUGGACUUUGGUAUGGGAGGAAAAGUGAACUACCCACACAGGAGAACAAGCAAGCUGUGGGUGAGAUUACAACCUACAACCGCUGAACUGUUAUUAUGAUGCGAAUCCUUUGUGAUGUGGUUUCCCUUUAUAAUUUUAAGUUAUUACGAUGCGGAAUUCUAGAAUGUUCCGACGAGUGCCUAUAUACGGACGAGAAAGACCGUCAACGGGGCUUCUUACGACCGCACCGCUGCUUGGGACAAUUACACGGAUGCCUACUGCAUUUCAUCUUUGGACAUUUCUGGAACAUUCGCUGGAAAGAACAUUUACAUGUUUGGGAACAUUCGUUGAACUUUGGUGACUAUUCGCCGUUUGGCUAGACUACUCGGUCUUUGAACUUUUGUGUUAGUUGUUUUAUCGUGCCUGUGUUGCAUUGUUGUGUGUGUGAUUAAAUUGUCUUCAACGCAAUACAACUGUCUUAUCACAUUUUGCUGGUUUGAGUAAAGGGGAUUUUAGUCUAAAUUCACGUGUAACAAUUCGUACAUUUAAAAUUAUACAACUUACAAUAGAUAACAUUUAGUGUGAUUGGGACACUCCAUUAGCAACAUAGCAAAGGUGUCUAGCAUCAGCUUCUUUGCGGUGUUCAUGCUAGCCUAGUAUUGCUAGCAUUGGUAUUUUACUGAAACUAGAUGUGUUUUCCCUGUGACUGCAGUAUUUAUCAUGACUAAACACAUCAUCUAUUUGAGGUCCUGCUUGUACACACUUAUGAUGGGUGACUUUUAGUCUUUUCGACUUUUGGUGGUUUUGCUGGGGGCCAAUAAAGUGAGGCUCCAUUCAUCCUGUUCUUAAUCUUGUUAGCAGUUUCAACAAUGAAAACUCUCCUUUUAAGGGGUUGAAUCGAUAAUAUUAAUCCGUUUUUUACACAAGCACGUGGAAAGUAGAUCAA